rnacentral:rRNA from 1 species
CAACCCUGAUCCAGCGAUGCCGCGUGAGUGAAGAAGGCCUUCGGGUUGUAAAGCUCUUUAUUGGGAAAGAUGAUGACGGUACCCAAUGAAUAAGCUCCGGCUAACUUCGUGCCAGCAGCCGCGGUAAUACGAAGGGAGCGAGCGUUGUUCGGAAUGACUGGGCGUAAAGGGCGCGUAGGCGGCUUUGUAAGUCAGGUGUGAAAGCCCCGAGCUUAACUUGGGAGGUGCAUUUGAUACUGCAGGGCUAGAGGCCGAGAGAGGAAAAAGGAAUUGCGAGUGUAGAGGUGAAAUUCGUAGAUAUUCGCAAGAACACCGAUGGCGAAGGCAUUUUUCUGGCUCGGAACUGACGCUGAGGCGCGAAAGCGUGGGGAGCAAACAGGAUUAGAUACCCUGGUAGUCCACGCUGUAAACGAUGAAUGCUAGAUGUUGGGGGGUUACCCUUCAGUAUCGCCGCUAACGCAAUAAGCAUUCCGCCUGGGGAGUACGGUCGCAAGAUUAA